rnacentral:rRNA from 1 species
GACGAACGCUGGCGGCGUGCUUAACACAUGCAAGUCGAACGGAAAGGCCCUGCUUUUGUGGGGUGCUCGUGUGGCGAACGGGUGAGUAACACGUGAGUAACCUGCCCUUGACUUUGGGAUAACUUCAGGAAACUGGGGCUAAUACCGGAUAGGAGCUCCUGCUGCAUGGUGUGGGUUGGAGAGUUUCGGCGGUUGGGGAUGGACUCGCGGCUUAUCCGCUUGUUGGUGAGGUAGUGGCUUACCAAGGGUUUGACGGGUAGCCGGCCUGAGAGGGGGACCGGCGACAUGGGGACUGAGAGAGGGCGCAGACGCCAACGGGACGCAGUGGGCGGGAAUAUUGCGGAAUGGGCGGGGGCGAGAGGCAGCAGCGCCGCGUGCGGGAUAACGGGCUUCGGGUGGUAAACCGCUUUCGCCUGUGACGAAGCGAGAGUGACGGUAAUUAGUAAAGAAGCACCGGCUAACUACGUG